rnacentral:rRNA from 1 species
AGCAGUCGCCACGGGAAUACGAAGGGUGCAAGCGUUAAUCGGAUUUACUGGGCGUAAAGCGUGCGUAGGCGGCUUCUUAAGUCGGAUGUGAAAUCCCUGAGCUUAACUUAGGAAUUGCAUUCGAUACUGGGAAGCUAGAGUAUGGGAGAGGAUGGUAGAAUUCCAGGUGUAGCGGUGAAAUGCGUAGAGAUCUGGAGGAAUACCGAUGGCGAAGGCAGCCAUCUGGCCUAAUACUGACGCUGAGGUACGAAAGCAUGGGGAGCAAACAGGAUUAGAUACCCGCGUAGUCCCUGUCUCUUAUAC